rnacentral:rRNA from 1 species
UACAGAGGGGGCAAGCGUUAUUCGGAAUUCUUGGGCGUAAAGGGCGCGUAGGCGGCCUUUCAAGUGACGGGUGAAAUCCCUCGGCUUAACCGAGGAACUGCCUGUCAGACUGGAAGGCUUGAGACCGGGAGAGGUGAGUGGAAUUCCCAGUGUAGCGGUGAAAUGCGUAGAUAUUGGGAGGAACACCAGUGGCGAAGGCGGCUCACUGGACCGGUACUGACGCUGAGGCGCGAAAGCGUGGGGAGCAAACAGG